AGAUGAAAAGGACUUUGAAAAGAGAGUUAAAAAGUGCUUGAAAUUGCUGGGAGGGAAGCGAAUGGAUGCCUUUGUUGCCCGCUGGUUGUGUGCGGAACGGCGUAAAAGCUGGUCUGUCAACCAACUCAGCGGGCUCGCUAGUGUGGGGGUGGAUGCCUGGACAAAGAUCCCGGGCUUUCUGUUCGGGAUUGAUGCUGGUGUCCACUCUGUGGCCUUGGGUGUGCGCCUUUCUGGCGGGUUUGUUUACCCUGCACGCCCGGGACGCUGGUGGCUUUUGGUUUUUCAUUCGACCCGUCUUGAAACACGGACCAAGGAGUCUAACAUGUAUGCGAGCCUGCGGGUUUGACACCUCGCUAGGCGUAAGGAAACUGAUGCGUGGGAUCCCCUUUGUGGGUGCACCACCGACCGACCAUGAGCUUCUGCGAAAGGUUCGAGUUGAAGCAUACCUGCUGGGACCCGAAAGAUGGUGAACUAUGCCUGAGCAGGGCGAAGCCAGAGGAAACUCUGGUGGAGGCUCGUAGCGAUACUGACGUGCAAAUCGUUCGUCAGACUUGGGUAUAGGGGCGAAAGACUAAUCGAACCAUCUAGUAGCUGGUUCCCUCCGAAGUAUCCCUCAGGAUAGCUGGAGCUCAUAUUGAGAGUUUUAUCAGGUAAAGCGAAUGAUUAGAGGCAUUGGGGGUGAAACACCCUCGACCUAUUCUCAAACUUUAAAUAGGUAAGGUGUCGGGGUUGCUCCGGUGAACCCCGACCUUUGAA
rnacentral:rRNA from 1 species